GACGAACCGUCCAAACGUUAUUCGGAAUCACGGGGCUUAAAGGGUGCGUUGGCGGCGCGGAAAGUUGGGUGUGAAAUCCCUCGGCUCAACCGAGGAACUGCGCCCAAAACUACCGUGCUCGAGGGAGAUAGAGGUGAGCGGAACUUAGGGUGGAGCGGUGAAAUGCGUUGAUAUCCUAAGGAACACCGGUGGCGAAAGCGGCUCACUGGAUCUCUUCUGACGCUGAGGCACGAAAGCUAGGGUAGCAAACGGG
rnacentral:rRNA from 1 species